GCUACGGCACAUGGUGGAUGCCUUGGCACUGAGAGGCGAUGAAGGACGUAGCAGCCUGCGAUAAGCUCCGGGGAGGUGGCAAGCAACCUUUGAGCCGGAGAUUUCCGAAUGGGGAAACCCUGCCGUGCAAACCACGGCAAGCUGUGCUUUGUCCAGAGUUUCUGUGCAGAGCACGGCGGCAAACCUGGGGAAGUGAAACAUCUCAGUACCCAGAGGAAAAGAGAAUAAAAAUUAUUCCCUGAGUAGUGGCGAGCGAAAGGGGAAGAGCCUAAACUUGUCUAAAAUUUUAGAUAAGGGUUGUGGGAAAUUAUCAUUUCUAAGGUCCUAACCUUAGAGGAGUAAUCAAAAACUUCCUUAGAAGAAUGGUUUGGAAUAGCCAGCCAAAGAAGGUGAAAGCCCUGUAUUCAAAAAGGGUUUUUGACUUCGGAUAAUUUUCCCGAGUAUGUCGAUGAAAAGGUUACGUCGACAGAAUCAAGGAGUACUAUCUCCUAAGGCUAAAUACUCCUCAGUGACCGAUAGUGAACAAGUACCGUGAGGGAAAGGUGAAAAGUAGGUCGGUGAGGCCGCUGAAAAGUACCUGAAACCAUGUGCUAACAAGGAGUAGGAGCCCGCCCAAAUUUUGUCAUGGAAAUAAAAAAUGAAUAAUUAUUCAAGAAAAUUAUUUUUGAGAAACAUUAACCCAAAAUUCAAUGACAAAACUUGGGUGGGUGACUGCGUUCCUAUUGAAGAAUGAGCCAGCGAGUUUAUCUUGGUGGCAAGGUUAAUCCCGAUAAAUCGAGAGAAACCAAAGCGAAAGCAAGUCUUAAAUGGGCGUUAAGUCACCAGGAUAAGACCCGAAGCCGGGUGAGCUACCCAUGGCCAGGAUGAAUCCCAACGAAAGUCGGGAGGAGGUCCGAACCCGUUAGUCGUGCAAAGCUAUGGGAUGAGCUGUGGGUAGGGGUAAAAUGCCAAUCGAACCCGGGGAUAGCUGGUACUCCCCGAAAUAGCUGUAGGGCUAGCCUUUCCGUGGCGACCAGGGGUAGAGCUACUGAAUAGACUAAGGUGGAGUAAUCCUACUUGGUCUAAUCAAACUCCGAAUACUGGUCUUGCUUUACGGAGGGAGUCAGUCUAUGGGGGCUAAGCUCCAUACGACAAAAGGGAAACAGCCCUAAUCUUUAUCUAAGGUCCCUAAUUUUAGGCUAAGUGUAAAAGCAGUGAAAUGACUUAAACAACCAGGAGGUAGGCUUAGAAGCAGCCAUCCUUUAAAGAAAGCGUAAUAGCUCACUGGUCGAGUUGUUUUGCGCUGAAAAUUUAUCGGGACUAAAGCCUAAAACCGAAGAUAAGACUCCGGCCUUGGUCGGAAGGUAGGGGAGCAUUCUGAUAGCAGUGAAGCUCCGAUGUAAAUUGGAGUGGAGUGGUCAGAAGAGAGAAUGCUGGCAUAAGUAGCAAGACUAGGGAUGAAAAAUCCCUUCGCCGAAAGUCCAAGGUUUCUUCCGCAACGAUAAUCGUCGGGAGGUUAGGCGGUCCUAAGCUGAAGCCGAAAGGCAAAAGUGAUGGAUAGCCGGUUAAUAUUCCGGCCCUUCCUAUUUUUUCGAAGGAGUGACGUUUCUUCUUAUUUUGAGCAUGAUUUGGCUAUUCAUGUCUAAGUAAAGAAUGGGUCUGCUAGGGAAAUCCGGCAGAUAAAAGUUCUUUACAAAUGAAACUUCGCAAGAAGAAUUCAAGAGUCGAGGGAACCAAGAAAAACUUCUAAGAAUAAAAAAUAGGAAACCGUACCGCAAACCAACACAGGUGGACGGGCAGAGAAUGCUCAGGCGAAUGAGAGAACCCUCGUUAAGGAACUCGGCAAAAAAGUGGCCGUAAGUUCGCAAUAAGGCCUCCCGCCAAAAUUUUUGCCUAAGCAAAAACUUAAGCGGGCGCAGCGAAAGUUUCUCACGCGACUGUUUACCAAAAACACAGGUCCCUGCACAAAGCGUAAGCUGAGAUAUAGGGGCUGAUGCCUGGCCAGUGUCAGAAGGUUAAGGAGAGAGGUAAAACGCGAGCCUAGCUCGCGUCGAGCUUCAAACCUAAGCCCUGAUGAACGCCGGCGAUAACUAUAGUUAGAACAAUUGUAGUUAUAAAAUCUGGCUGUAUGCUGGAAAAUCCUGUAAGACUGGCAUUACUUUAAAAUUUUGUACCAUAAAAGUAGGUACUAAUAAUUUUGAAGUAAAAAUAUGUCCAGUAGGGACAAUCAGCAGGAAACCUUAUUUUAUUAUUUGGUUGGUUUUGUUGAUGGAGAGGGGAGUUUUAAUGUUUCGAUUAGGAAGCAUCUCGAUUAUCGAAUUAAAUGGAAAACCUCUUUAACCUUUAAUGUUUCUCAGAGGGAAAGAAGAUUCUAUCUCUUCUUAAGAGAGUGCUUAAGUGUGGAUAUGUAAGACAAAGGAAAAAUGGAAUUUGCUAUUUUGAAGUAGUUAAGUUAAAAGAUAUCAUUGAUCGUGUUAUUCCAUUUUUUCGAGAAUUUCCUCUCAGAUCAGAAAAGAAAAUUGACUUUGAAAUUUUUAGUGAAAUUGCAGAAAUGAUAGAAAAGAAACAGCAUUUAACCAAGAAGGGUAUAAAGAAAAUCCUUAAGUUAAGAGAGUUGAUGAAUAAAGGUGGUAAAAACAGAAGAUUGAAAAUUGAAGAUAUUUUUAAGAAUAUAAAAUAAGGGAUCCUCAGAGACUAUACGCCAGACCCCAAUGUAGUAUUGGGAAUGAUAUAGUCCGAUCUCAUAGGAGACUAUGAGUUAACAUAAAUGAAUCGUCCUAUGGUAGCGUAAUCCCUUGCCGGGUGAGUUCCGGCCUGCACGAAUGGCAUAACGACGUGAGAACUGUCUCAACGAGGGACUCAGCGAAAUUGCGAGACCCGUGAAGACGCGGGUUACCUCCGACUAGACGAAAAGACCCCGUGAACCUUUACUACAGCUUGGCAUUGAAUUAGGAUUGAAUCUGUUGAGCGUAGGUGGGACUCCGACAUUAUGUCAGAGGACAAUGAAACACCACCCUGAUUUAA
rnacentral:rRNA from 1 species